CUUACCAGUUAAAAUGGUAAUAUAAUUAACGACAAUCCUUCACUUAUAAAUGAUAUAAAAUUCUAAAUAAAAAAUUAAUCUAUCUACUUAAUAUUCUUCCAACUAAUUUCCCUCAAAAAAAAAAUCUUCCAACCAAUACAUAACUCAAAAUGGAGGGAAAUUUGAUUUUCUACAAAUCCAGGAAGAUGAUAGUAGCUAUUCUUUUUAUUCUAGCCAUAGGUCAAAUUAUGACUGCUAACGCAGGAAAGUGUAUUCGUGAUGGUCAACUGUGUGGUUUCGUUGAGUGGCUCGUGACGGCGGGAGAUGAUUGUUGUGUUCCAAGUCAAUGUUCAAAACCAUUUGGUGGAGGAAUUUGUAAAUAGCCCCGAUUAUCACAAAAUUCCCCAUUGGCACUGUCUAAUUAGACUAUUAGAGUUUAUUUAGUUAUCUUAUCAAUAAUUGUUCCUAACUAGUAAAUUAUUUAAUUUAAAGUUGGUGAUAAAAAAGGUGUAAUUAUUUCUCAUGGAGGAUAUUUAUACAUAUAUGCUACUAAAAGUUAUGCUUUCGGUUGA